AGAAUAAAAUACUUAGAUGUAUUAUGUACAAUCCGUACCAUGUUGACUACCUUCUUGGGGAGAGAUGGGAGGGAGGGAGAGAGAGAACACGGAUUGCAAAAUGUCAGAAAAUGAAUUCUAAAAAUUGUAUCGACAUAUAAUUUGGGGAAAAAAAAUAGAAUAUCUGCAUAAUGGCUGCCAUGAUACAAAUAUAGAUGAAAUAAAAGCCUGUAAUCAGUAAUUAAGGCAGCACAGUGAUAUUAUUAGAUUUGAAUAGAGUAUUAGAUUUGAAGUUAAAGAGCUGGGUCACUAGUUAAGGGACUCCCCAUAUCGUUUAACUGUGUGUGCCCCACUCUCCUCAACUGUAAAAUUAAGGGAUGGGUCUGGAUAAUCUCUGAAGUCCUUUACAGCUCUCUAUCUGCAUUCCUGUGUGACAGCCAGUCUUGGCCCAAGAAAAGAGAUGAGGAAACAGCACCCUUCUUUCUUAGCAGAGGGGUGGGGGCCUAUGCAGAUGUUACAUGGAAUGUUGUGGUCACCUUGUCAAUUUGUUUUGCUUAACUAUUACUGUUUGUUUCAAAGGAGGGCUCAUGAGUCAAGGGAGGAUGGGGAAGUUUUAUGCAGCAAUGACUGCUGUACAAACAAAAGACAUCCAUACAGCUUCUUGUAAAAAUAGAGGAAAAAACAGAGAUUGAAUUAGAUACUGUCUAAUGCAGAAUUGCCCAAUUUAGAGAGAGGAUCAUGGGAGUUAUGUUCCAAGGGGUCCUUUUUCAUUAAAUAAGAAAGAGAAAAAAGACAUCUGAAUGAAACUGAUUUUUUUUUUGUGCACACCUUGUACAGUUGUUUCUUUAUGUAACACUAGCACAUAAUAUGUAGAUGAUUUGUGGAUGUGCUUUAUACAUAAUUUGGAUAAGUCUAAAGAGAUGAAUUUUAUGGAACUGGCAGAUCCUGUUAUGGGAUUUCAUCUCAACCAGUUCUACAGAAGCACAAGCAUUUUGAACAGUUUACUGUCUGUGUGGCAUCCUUAUGCUGGAAGAAAAUAAUCAGAACUGGGAACUGAUCAUUUCUUCUCUUAAUAUGCAUAACUAGUAGCAUUGAACAAAGGGUAUUUGUUGUAAACAGUAUCUGAUACUUGUUUUAUUGCCUAGCAUCGGUCAGCUCUUACAAGACAAUUUAAAAAUUUAUCAUGUAGGGAAUUAAAACCUUGAAAGAAAGCUCUAAAGGGUUGGGGGACUUGGUGGGUUCAGAAGAUACAGGAAGAGUCUUUAGUAUGUUUUUCAAAGUAAAAGAUGCAGUAACAUGUGCUCAUUGUGUGCACAUGAACCCUCCCAACAACUUGCCUGUGUUUAGCCACAGUUGUAUAUGAAAGCUACUGAGUAUUUCGACUAUUACCAAACAAAUGGGAAAAAAACCCAAAGUAAUAUGCUUGGGAAUCAUGAAAAUAAAGAAAUUUUUGCAUGUUCUUUAAGGAGUAGCAAUAAGUAUUUAUCUUAUAUAAUGUAUAAUCUUCCAAACCCUUGGUAAUUUAUCUAUAAAUUCAGGUAUAAUAGUCUAUUCUUUGCCUCCAUUGGGUUUGCUCACUCUGAACAAGAAUGGCCAUGUUUAGAUACAUACAUCCAAGGUGCUAUUCCUUCCUGUAAUCUUUGACUUUACAUCCAAUUAAGUAAGUCUUUAUUAAGCCCUUACAGACCAAGGCCCUCCAAAGGACCUCCCCAAGUCUUUUCUCAGCUCUCUCCUCCUCAUGAUUGGCGUAUUCCAAGGUACCUGAGGUCCUCUUAUUUUAUAUUGACUGUAAGAGGCUCCAGCUCCCUUUGUUUACCCCAAUAGAAAACUCCACUACCACUGCCUCCUUUGGGCCAUCUGGUGACAGCUACGUCUGGACCAAGUGGACUUCCUGCCAGCGCCUUUCUAUUGUGGUUUGUAUGUUUUUCAAUAAAGUCCAUAAUUAGAACAACUGAAUGUGAAAAUGUGUUUCUUACAAUCCUUGGAAAGCCUCAGAAGCUACUUGAUUACCAUGAUUUUUCCGUUCAUGGGACAUCUUCAAAAUGCAUGGCAUAAACAUGACUUUAUUCUAUUUCAUAAUAUAACUGUUAGUAACUAGGUUGUGGACUGGUGAGUUCAAUGUCAUAGGAAAUGUCUUCUACCAAUACCAGUGGCCACUUUCUCUGCAACUUCUUCUGAGAGCAGUGGGUUCCUUAGCCAGUAUGUGGCAGGGGCAAGAGAUAAUCAGACCUUCCAGCCUUCAAGGCAGGUUUCUUAUCCACUAUUCCAUGCUGCCUUUUAGUCCCCUGUUAGGGACAUUAAAAAAUGAAUGAAUCCUGAAUUCAGGAGUCAUUCUAAAACAAACACUAUUGUUUAUCGAUGACACAUUAAACCUGGUUGUUUACAUGACACAAGGAAGGUUGUGAGUUAGGGUGCUUAAGUCAAGAAGACCUGGAUUCCAGACUUUGCUCAGGCUCUAAUGCCUAUGUGACCCAUAUACCUCCCAGUGCUCCCAGGCCUCUCUCUAGGACCUGAAGUUGGUGAUUUGCUUCAUCUCCUUAUCUGGCCUUCCCUAUACCUAUGAGGUUGGUUUAGUUUAGGCAAAAAGAAAAUGAAGCCUCCAAUCCUAAAAACCUUGCAACCUUUAUUUUUCACUUAGACUAAUAUUUUAUGGUACUGUGAAAUCAGUUAGCAUUACUUAGUAGGAUAAAGAAAUGACUACUGUAAGGUAAUUAGACUCUCUAAAAUUCCCCUUGGAAAUGCGUUAUACUAUUCUAUUCAAAUAGUGGGAUGAAACUAUUAAUAUGGUUUCAUUUUCUCUUCCCACCCACCUGUACUGCAGGUGUUCUUUGGAGUUUGGUCCUUGGCUUUAUGCUUUUUUCUAACUGUUUUAAGGAAGGAGGCAUUUAAAAAUUUAAUUUAAUUUUUUUUAACUUCUCACAAAGUCAGAUAUCACUAGCCUGUGGGGGAAAUUUUGACAUUGAAGACCCUGAAGGAGUUUCUUUGAGUCACCAUCCCCUCCAUACUGAGAGGGGAAAAAAAUCUGCAAAUCAUUUUAUGUGUAAGAUGAAUGCCAUUAAAGCCUUUUAGUUGAUAACAAAUAUUGAUAAAGUGCUCUCUCUUUAUGCCCCAAUUAUUUCAUCUAUUUUGUUGUUAUUUUUAAUGGGUUUUCCACUAUUAGUAUUUCCCCUUUUGUUUGUUAUUCUAUGUAUUAGUUGCAAAUGCUCUUGAUUUUUGUGGGUUUAUUGGUAGUGUUGGCUCAUUGCAAGCAAUGUAAGGAAAUAAAAAGAUAAUGUGUAGUGCUUGCUAUCAUGUAGCCUUUAGUCUAGUAGGAAUGUAUGAUAUGUACAUAUAAUUUUAUAGAUUAAAUGUAGAAGUGAUUGUGAGGAGAGUAAAGUUGCUACAUGAAGUUGGUGAUGGGUUAGGGUUAGGGAAAGCUUCUAUGAAGGAUGGCUUUAAGGGCCAGGUCUUGGAGGAUGAGUAGAAUUUCAGAGACAAGGGGAAGGCUCACUUUAGAGGCCUAAGGAAAAGAUAAUUGGUUCAGAGAAGAUAUCCACCAUCAUCUUUAAAAAAAAUCUUUAUAAUUUAGUAUUCGGUUAGCAACUGUUCUAUAUCUCUUCUUCCCAGCAAAACAUUUUGAAAAGGACUAUACAUUUGUGUUCUCACUCCUUUGUAAAUCUUCUUCCUUCUGACUUUUGUCCUCAUCAUUCAAUUGAUUGUUUUCUUCAAAUUUAACAAUUUUUUUUCUUUUUUGGGAGGUGGGUAACAUCUUAAGUUCUUAAAUGUUACCCUUCCUCCCCAGUCUGCACUAGAAAGUGACACCAUUGGAAACAGAUAUGGAUAUGUUAUUUGUGUCAAAUGUGUAUGUGACACACAUACACUUCUAUUUAUCAGUUCUUUUCUCUGGAUAUGGAUAGCAACUUCCUUCAUUGUAGUUAUUUUGAAUGUUCAUAUUACUCAGAAGAGCUUAGUCAUUUACAGUUUUCCUUCGAACAAUAUUCCUGCUACUGUGUAAAAUUUUUCCUUGGUUCUUCUUGUUUCACUCAUUUCAUGUAAGUCUAUGUUUUCCUAAAAUCAAGCUGAUCAUCAUUUAUUAUAGUAUAGACAAUCAUAUAUUGUUAAAUUUUUUUAUUAUCAUGCAAAACACUUCCAUAUUGGUCAUUGUCAAGAGCACACUCAUACAAAACCAAAGCCCCAAAAUGAAACUGUAAAUCAAAACAUCCAAAAAUCUCUUAAGUAUCAUAGUGUGCCACACAUAAGGACCAUCCUUGUUCUAUGUAAUUUUGUAACAUUUAGUUUGAAUUUUUAAAUAUUUAUUUCUGUUUCCAUUGUGUUUAUUGUUUUCUUGAAUGCUGACUUUACUCUUCAUCAAUUAAUACAGGUAUUUUCCAGCAUUCUCUUGGAUUCAUCUUAUUUUUUACAACAGCCAGGUUUCGGGAUUAUUAUCCUCAUUUGGUCUCACCCACCUUCCCAGACCAGAUGAAGCAUGUUUAUCAUUGUAAACAAGCAGUAUAACAAAGAGAAAAAUAAUCAUUUACAACAUAUCUGCUGUGAAAAAGAUGAUAGCUAAAGGCGUUUUCCAGCAUCACUGUGACAUCAGGCUUCUCACUUCUGGACCCAUAAACCCACCAUUCAUUUUUUUUGAAUACCAAUUAAAGUGUUUUCUCAAGAA